AUUCCUUGGUACGAAUCCUCUCUUUCACAAUACCAUGGGUGGUUGAGAUUUUUAAAAAAACAAAACAAACAUGAGUGUUUUGAAAGGUGGGGUGGAACUGGGGGAGGCUAUUUUUCAGGCAAACCAUUUACCUGUUGCUCUAUGAUUCCCAAACUGUCUAUUCAUGUUGUGUUAUCUAGUGUAAAAUUUAGGAAUGUGUACAAAAAAGUUACCUGUACUUGUUGCAACUAUUGCUGAUAGCUAACACAUUCAUUUGUCAAUUUUGGUUCUGGUGGACCACAAACAAGACCACUAAAAUGCAAGCAACAGGUCUCACCUCAAUGGUAACAACAUAGAGGGGGAUCAGGGGUGGCGUACUGAUUGAAGAUUCUCGCAUAUAUUGGUGUAGGGCCAACCAAAAUUUGUCCUCUCUACGCAAAGAACGGCAAACCACAGAUUCAGGGACAACUACUUCAAAAGAGUUCUUUACUCAGGGAGGUUAAAAAGUACAAGUUAUUCCAACGCUCUAGUGAGCAGAGAUCAAUAAACUAGCAACAUAAUUGUGGUUUGGGUGGAGAUACAUGUGAUCCGGAUACCAAAGUCCAAUUUGAAAGGUUAAUCAUAUGAUGGAGCAAUAGAUUUUUAUUCCCAAGGCUGUUCCUGUUUUGGAAGUGCUUUAAAUAUUUUCAAGAUGUAACUUACUAUUUGUACUAACUGCAUUUUGCUUGAUUCCUCCCAUGUGAACAUGUUUCUGCGCCCUGAUGAGGGAGGAAUGCGUUAAAAUAGGCUUUGAUUCAUUAUUCCAUGACAUGUACAGGAAUCUUGGUGCCUCUUGACGAUGCAACAAGCCAGCACAGUACAGAUCGCUUGGCUCAAUUGGAUGAAGAGUAGAAGACACUAGUUGGAGAGUGACAUCAAUGAUAAAGUGCAAGGCACCCAAGAAUGCUCGCCUGUGAUGUACCAUGACACCACCCAAAAAUAAAACAAAUGGAGUGCCCACUUUUCUCUGCUUGCUUUCCCUCUUCUAUAUUAGUUGAGUCACUGCCAUAGAGCUCAUUGAAAUACAUCUAUUUGCUACUUGCUCAUUGUUUGACCAAAAGCUAUUAUGUUCUUUAGUGGCAUGCCAAUAUACCAUCAGCACCCCUCCACCAGCUGUGGAGGCCUUGUUAAUUCCCGCCAAUCAGAUACCGUUUUGGUGAUUAAAUAAAAUUCUCUUGUCAGUGGGUCCCAGCCCAAGGGCCACCUAAUUUUUGGGGCCCACGAGGAGUCAUCACCACCGUGGAUCCAGUUCGGCCUGGGAACAUGUAAAACUAUAGAUAUAAUA